UUGCUUUAGAAGCACAUACACUAAAAUUGGAAUGAUACAAAGAUGAGUGUGGCCCCUGAGCAAGGAUGAUAUGCAAAUUCAUGAAGCAUUCCGUAGUUUU
ensembl:snRNA U6 U6 spliceosomal RNA